rnacentral:rRNA from 1 species
UACAGAGGGUGCAAGCGUUGUUCGGAAUCAUUGGGCGUAAAGGGCGCGUAGGCGGCCUUGUAAGUCGGAUGUGAAAGCCCAGGGCUCAACCUUGGAAGUGCAUCCGAAACUGCGAGGCUCGAAUCUCGGAGAGGGUGGUGGAAUUCCCAGUGUAGAGGUGAAAUUCGUAGAUAUUGGGAGGAACACCAGUGGCGAAGGCGACCACCUGGACGAAGAUUGACGCUGAGGCGCGAAAGCGUGGGGAGCAAACAGG